GAGAUUGGCAAUGGGCGCAGCCUGAUCCAGCCAUGCCGCGUGCAGGAAGACUGCCCUAUGGGUUGUAAACUGCUUUUAUACAGGAAGAAACCUUUCCACGUGUGGGGAGCUGACGGUACUGUAAGAAUAAGCAUCGGCUAACUCCGUGCCAGCAGCCGCGGUAAUAA
rnacentral:rRNA from 1 species